GAAGAUGUAGCUUAGUGGUAGAGUGCUUGCUUGGCAUGCACAAGGCUCUGGCUUCAAUGACCAGUAUCACCA
rnacentral:tRNA from 1 species